UGGGGAAUAUUGCACAAUGGGCGCAAGCCUGAUGCAGCCAUGCCGCGUGUAUGAAGAAGGCCUUCGGGUUGUAAAGUACUUUCAGUCGGGAGGAAGGUGGUAAGGUUAAUAACCUUGGCAAUUGACGUUACCGACAGAAGAAGCACCGGCUAACUCCGUGCCAGCAGCCGCGGUAAUACGGAGGGUGCAAGCGUUAAUCGGAAUUACUGGGCGUAAAGCGCACGCAGGCGGUUGAUUGAGUCAGAUGUGAAAUCCCCGGGCUUAACCCGGGAAUUGCAUCUGAUACUGGCAAGCUUGAGUCUCGUAGAGGGGGGUAGAAUUCCAGGUGUAGCGGUGAAAUGCGUAGAGAUCUGGAGGAAUACCGGUGGCGAAGGCGGCCCCCUGGACAAAGACUGACGCUCAGGUGCGAAAGCGUGGGGAGCAAACAGG
rnacentral:rRNA from 1 species